rnacentral:rRNA from 1 species
GAUGAACGCUGGCGGCGUGCCUAAUACAUGCAAGUCGAGCGAACAGACGAGGAGCUUGCUCCUCUGACGUUAGCGGCGGACGGGUGAGUAACACGUGGAUAACCUACCUAUAAGACUGGGAUAACUUCGGGAAACCGGAGCUAAUACCGGAUAACAUGUUGAACCGCAUGGUUCAACAGUGAAAGACGGUUUUGCUGUCACUUAUAGAUGGAUCCGCGUCGCAUUAGCUAGUUGGUAAGGUAACGGCUUACCAAGGCAACGAUGCGUGGCCGACCUGGGAGGGUGUUCGGCCACAGUGGAACUGAGACGCGGUCCAGACUCCUACGGGAGGCAGCAGUAGGGAAUCUUCCGCAAUGGGCGAAAGCCUGACGGAGCAACGCCGCGUGAGUGAAGAAGGUCUUCGGAUCGUAAAACGCUGUUAUUAGGGAAGAACAAAUGUGUAAGUAACUAUGCACGUCUUGACGGUACCUAAUCAGAAAGCCACGGCUAACUACGUG